rnacentral:rRNA from 1 species
GGAUAACCUACCCUUAGGACUGGGAUAACCCUGGGAAACUGGGGAUAAUACUAGAUAGGCAAUUUUUCCUGGAAUGGUUUUUUGUUUAAAUGUUUUUUCGCCUAAGGAUGGGUCUGCGGCCGAUUAGGUAGUUGGUUAGGUAACGGCUUACCAAGCCAUUGAUCGGUACGGGUUGUGAGAGCAAGAGCCCGGAGAUGGAACCUGAGACAAGGUUCCAGGCCCUACGGGGUGCAGCAGGCGCGAAACCUCCGCAAUGUGAGAAAUCGCGACGGGGGGAUCCCAAGUGCCAUUCUUAACGGGAUGGCUUUUCAUUAGUGUAAAGAGCUUUUGGAAUAAGGGCUGGGCAAGACCGGUGCCAGCCGCCGCGGUAACACCGGCAGCUCUAGUGGUAGCAGUUUUUAUUGGACCUAAAGCGUCCGUAGCCGGUUUAAUAAGUCUCUGGUGAAAUCCUGUAGCUUAACUGUGGGAAUUGCUGGAGAUACUAUUAGACUUGAGACCGGGAGAGGUUAGAGGUACUCCCAGGGUAGAGGUGAAAUUCUGUAAUCCUGGGAGGACCGCCUGUUGCGAAGGCGUCUAACUGGAACGGUUCUGACGGUGAGGGACGAAAGUUAGGGGCGCGAACCGGAUUAGAUACCCGGGUAGUCCUAACUGUAAACGAUGCGGACUUGGUGUUGGGGUGGCUUUGAGCUGCUCCAGUGCCGAAGGGAAGCUGUUAAGUCCGCCGCCUGG